UUAAUGAAAUGCGAGGACGCUCUUUUUAGAGGUCCGAUCAACUCAUUUUCCUUCACCCUGUGCACAAACUGUUUUUACACACAAAAGUCUAAAAAUGACAUCGUCUCUUAAUUGAGCAUAAACAAACAAAACUUUCGGCAACGGAUCUCUUGGCUCCCGCAUCGAUGAAGAACGCAGCGAAAUGCGAUACGUAAUGUGAAUUGCAGAAUUCAGUGAAUCAUCGAAUCUUUGAACGCACCUUGCACUCUUUGGUAUUCCGAAGAGUAUGUCUGUUUGAGUGUCGUGAAACUCUCAACCCCCCCUUUUUGUAACGAGAUGGGCGUGGGCUUGGAUUAUGGCUGUCUGUCGGUUCUAAUCGAAUCGGCUCGGCUGAAAUACAUGAGCGGACCACACUGAAUACAGUGACGGCUUGACUCGGCGUAAUAAUCUUUUCGCUGAGGACGUCCAAUUUUUCAGAUAGGCGCUUCUAAUGCUACAAAUCUUUUUAAGCUUUAGACCUCAAAUCAGUCAGGACUACCCGCUGAACUUAAGCAUAUCA
rnacentral:sRNA from 1 species